UGUGUAUGUGUGUUUCCAGAAAGCCAAUUCUGCUGUGACUCACUGCCCUCCUGUAGGAAUCAAUGGGCAGCUGGGGCUGGAAAUGGGCUUUGGUGUCCCCGCUGCCAUCCAGCUGGAUACACUGAAAGGACAAGCCUAAGAAAUGCCAAAGGUGGAUCUAGCAAGUAUCUCAUGAAGGUACUUGGUACUUUAUGUGUGAUUUCUCACAUGUUUAGGGCAGAGCUACAGGACUCUUGAGUGCUUUGGAGAUGACACAAGUGUUUGAAAGGCACACAACCAGCUGGGAACUGACUGGCUGGAAGUAACAUCACUGGGUUCUCAGCUCAGAGAGAUCUGUCACAGAGAUGUAGCGGGUGUGAGUGCUAUUGGCACCUGCUUCCUGUUAGCCACAGACAGGAACAGAGAGAAGGAACAUCUAGCAAGUGUUUCAUACGGAGGUAAAUCACAAAAAAGGACGUGGGUGUCAGUACACCUGCCUAGUUGUCACCCCAACAGAGAGUGACACAUGUGAAGGCUGCACAUAGAUGACACAUGUCCAGUUGGUUGGAGGCCAUCCUCACACUGCUGGCCCUUGGACAUGCCUUGGGCUGGGGCCAGGACUGGCAAUUCAGCAUAGAAAGUGACAUGAGUUUCUCAUAAUUCUGCCAAGUUUAACCACCAGUGCAGCAGUGACAAUGAGACUAGGCAGCAAUAACACAUUCCCAAACCUCUUAACAACCCUAUUUCUGCCAGUGGCAAUAUAAAUGCAGCAGCUGAAGAGGAAGCAAAAUCUUGGACCUCUGCUCCAGCCAGCACCUUGGCAGCGUUAACAACGAAAACAAGUUGCCACUGUAUUUGCAAAGCUCUGCCAGCUAACUCUGUGAGCAAUGUGUGGCGGCAUUCAUCAAAAGGGCGCAGCUGAGCAGCAGUGAACAAGCCUACUGUACUUGCCCUGCUUGGCUUCUCUUCAUGAAGUCAGAUAAACCAAUGGGGAAGAAGCUGUGCCUGCUCUGUGCUCAGCUGGAGGAUGGGGAGCUUGGAUAGGCCAUGAAACACUGCAGCAGUUGCAGACUGUGGCAAAGAGCAAGUCAUGGCCAAGAUUCAGAAAUGAUGAAAUAACAAGUAGUCCCCCUCAAGAGCUAGGAAGGACUGUACAAUUUAUUACAAACACAGCCAGCUGCUGAAAACAAGAGGAGAAAGAAAAACGAAUGAACACUGCGAGGUCACUAAGGAUGGAAAGAAAGACCAUGGUUAAGGCUGAAGAGUCCCAGCUGUCUCAGUCUGUCCUCAUAGGAGAGGUGUUCCAUUCUGUGGAUCAUUUUUCUGGCUCUCCUCUGAACAUGCUCCAAACAGGUCCAUGUCUCUUCUGUCCUGAGGACUCCACAUCUGGAUGCAAUACUCCAGGUAAGGCCUCACUAGCGCAGAACAGAGGAGCAGGAUCACCUCCCUCCCCCUGAUGGCCAAUGCUUCUUUUGAUGCAGCCCAGGAUACGGUUGGCUUUCUGGGCUGUGAGGACACAUUGUUGGCUCAUGUCCAGCUUGCUAUUCACCAUUACCCUCUGGUCUUUUUCAGCGGGGCUGCUCUCUGUCCUUUCAUUCCCCAGCUUGAAUUGGCAGUGGGAGUGCCUCAACCCUGCAGCAAUAUCUUGCAUCCGUUGAACCUAAUGAAGUUCACCUGGGCCCACUGCUCAAGCCUGUCUGGGUCCUUCCAGAUGGCAUCCCAUCUCUCUGCUCUGCCCUCUGUCAACUGCACCCCACAGCUUGGUGUCAUCAGCAAACUUGCUGAGGGUUCACUCAACCCCACUAUCAGUGUCUUUGAUGAAGAUAUUAAAGAGUAUUGGCCCUAGCACCGACCCCUUGGAGGUACCACUCAUCACCAGUCUCCAUCCAGACAUGGAGUCAUUGACCACCACUCUCUGGACUUUAUCCUGCAGC